AGUCCCGUGGUGAGGGCAUUUAUGUAGUAACUCUUUGAAUCUUUCCCAUGCCUCGUAUAGGGGCUCAUCAUCCAUUUUUUGAAAAGCAAUGAUCUCAUUCCGCAACU
rfam:Gossypium raimondii chromosome 13, whole genome shotgun sequence.